UACGGAGGGCGCAAGCGUUUUUCGGAAUCACUGGGCGUAAAGCGCGUGUAGGCGGCCCGGCAAGUCGGAUGUGAAAUCCCGAGGCUCAACCUCGGAACUGCACUCGAAACUGCCUGGCUCGAGUCCCGGAGAGGGUGGCGGAAUUCCCGGUGUAGGGGUGAAAUCCGUAGAUAUCGGGAGGAACACCAGUGGCGAAGGCGGCCACCUGGACGGUGACUGACGCUGAGACGCGAAAGCGCGGGGAGCAAACAGG
rnacentral:rRNA from 1 species